AAUUGAAUUAAUAUUCCCUCCCUCUAAAAAAGAAAGGGAAAGAACAGUAUUUUUCUCUUUUGUUACUGGCUCUGCAUCUGUAUCUGUGUCUCCUUUGGCAUUUUGUUUUGGCCUUUGGUUUUUUGGCUCUUCUCUCUUUCUUUCUGUCUCUGUGACUCUAAUUUUCAUUAAAGAUCUCAUUUUCAUUAAAGAUCUCAUUUUUAGCUUGUUUCUGUGUGUUGAAGAGGAUAAUGAUAGUAGUGGAAUCACGGAGGAGAAGAGACUAACAGAGUGAGCCUACUAACCAACAGCAAACCCACAUGGAAUUUGUGGGGAUCAACCAAAAGUUAAGAAAUCAUACAUGGGCAUUCCCAGAUCUCUAGGAUCUUAAAAGCCCAGGCUUUGAAUGGCUUGCUUGUUUCUCGAGAAAAUUCUCUUCUUUUUUAGCUGAUGGUUCAGCUCAGUUUGAUUCACAUAUUCUCUGUGCCCCAGCUGGGUGAUUUAUAAGAUAGUGAAUUUGGUUCCAUUUGAACAUUUUUAUCUGGUUUCUGCAAAGUGAAAGGGAAAAAAGGAUAAACUGUUCUUGUUAUGGAAAUGGGAGUGGCUUUGUGCUUUAUGCGGCUCUGAUUCUGGAGGGAGCUUUUUAUUUGGAUAAGGUAAUUGAAACUUCAUGUCAUCCAAAAUAUGGCUUGUGGGGUUGCCGGAUAUGGCUAUUUUGAUCAGAGGAUAGAGGUUGUUCAAAGAGAGUAAAGUUAGUGCACUGUGAAUAGAAGAGUAUGGAAGAGAGGAUUUUCUGGCUGUGGAGAAUGGGUUAUUUGGUUUUGGCAUUGAUGGAGAUUUCUUCUGCUACUCUUUCUCCCACUGGUAUAAACUAUGAAGUGGUUGCUUUGGUGAGCAUAAAAACUGCUUUACAUGAUCCAUACAAUGUUCUGGAGAGUUGGGAUAUCAACUCUGUUGAUCCUUGUAGCUGGAGAAUGGUUACUUGCUCUCCUGACGGAUAUGUUUCUGCCUUGGGACUUCCCAGUCAGAGUUUGUCUGGGACCUUAUCUCCUUGGAUUGGGAACCUUACUAACUUGCAAUCAGUGUUGUUGCAGAAUAAUGCCAUUUCAGGCCCUAUACCUACUGCAAUAGGGAGGUUGGGGAAGCUUCAAACACUUGAUCUCUCCAACAAUACGUUCAGUGGGGAAAUACCAGCUUCCUUGGGGGACCUCAAGGACCUGAAUUACCUGCGGUUAAAUAACAACAGCCUUUCUGGACCCUGCCCUGAGACGCUGUCCAACAUUGAAGGUCUCACUCUUGUGGAUCUUUCAUUUAACAAUCUGAGUGGUUCUUUGCCCAAAAUAUCAGCAAGAACUUUCAAAGUUAUAGGCAACCCUUUAAUAUGUGGACCAAAGGCCAGUAACAACUGCUCUGCUGUCUUUCCGGAGCCUCUUUCUCUUCCACCUGAUGGUCUAAAAGGUCAAUCAGACUCUGGAGCCAGUAGCCAUCACGUGGCUAUUGCUUUUGGUGCAAGCUUUGGUGCUGCUUUUUCCAUCAUAAUUGUUAUCGGGUUCCUCAUUUGGUGGCGAUAUAGACGCAAUCAGCAGAUUUUCUUUGAUGUUAAUGAACAAUAUGACGGAGAGGUAUGCUUGGGCCAUUUGAGAAGAUACACAUUUAAGGAGCUUAGGGCUGCAACUGAUCAUUUCAAUUCAAAGAACAUUCUGGGGAGAGGUGGAUUUGGGAUAGUUUACAAGGGAUGUUUGAAUGAUGGAACACUGUUGGCUGUCAAAAGGCUGAAGGACUAUGAUAUAGCUGGUGGUGAAAUCCAAUUCCAGACGGAAGUAGAAACAAUAAGCUUAGCUGUCCACCGAAAUCUGCUCAGGCUCUCUGGGUUCUGCACUACUGAGAAUGAAAGGCUUCUUGUUUACCCCUAUAUGCCAAAUGGAAGUGUAGCAUCUCGAUUAAGAGGUCAGUAUUCAUCUUUAGCCCAAGAUUCUAAACCAUUUAUCCACAUGUGGGGAACCUUGGCUGCUGUUAUCCAUUAGCUGGCACUGACACAAUUUGCUCACACUAGCCAUCCUGCAGGACCACCAUAAAAUGCACGAUAGCCACCAUGAUUUGCAACUGGCAGGACCAGCAAAACCCUAAUCACAAGCACAAGCCAAUGUAUGGUGACUGCCACAACCAGAGACAUAUUCAUCCUCUGGCUGUUAACUUCCAAUUGUUACCACUUCAAACUCCGCUCACUGCCGCCAUCAUUAUUUUCGCCUGGAUAGUCAAAAUGCCAUAAUAUAAUAUUCUAGCUUGUGGCAGUGUGUUUUUCUUUGACUGAACUACUUUCACUCACUCCUUAACACCCCUAUACCCUCUCCCAAACCAAAAAAAGGGAUAUGAUUUCCAAUUAUAUCAGUUUGCUUGGUGAGAUUUCAAAUCUGAUACUGCACGUUUUCAUCUUCAUACUUCCAAGUACGGCCUUUCAGAGACAACUAUUUUGAACUCAUUUCUUAUGAGUUGAACCAUGAUCUUUUUUAAAUUACUGCAUAACACAUUCUAAGCUCAUUGCUUCCAGAAAAGGAUUUAUGCUCCCAAGUGGUAAUUUAGCACAUCAGCAACUUGAUUGCUUUAACAAAUUGGAAUAUUUGUGCAGUGAGUUGCUGUACUUUUAUUGCCAAAAAUCCAUCAUGAUUCCAGUGAUCCUAUUCUACUUUCAGUUUUCUUAAAAGAAUAGUUUUCUUUGCAACACAUCAUCUACCAGAGACUAAUUUUAUCAGAUAUGGAUUCUAUUAUCAGAUCACAUUCAUGGUCGGCCAGCUUUGGACUGGGCAAGGCGAAAGAAGAUAGCUUUAGGUACCGCUAGAGGGCUUCUUUAUUUGCAUGAGCAAUGUGACCCCAAAAUUAUUCACCGUGAUGUCAAAGCAGCCAACAUUUUGUUGGAUGAAGACUUUGAGGCAGUUGUUGGUGAUUUUGGAUUGGCAAAGCUUUUGGAUCACAGAGAUUCCCAUGUGACCACGGCUGUGCGUGGCACCGUUGGCCACAUUGCUCCAGAGUACUUGUCAACAGGUCAGUCAUCAGAGAAGACUGAUGUGUUUGGGUUUGGGAUAUUGCUUCUUGAGCUUAUCACAGGUCAGAAAGCAUUGGAUUUUGGAAGGGCAGCUAACCAGAAAGGUGUCAUGCUUGAUAGGGUACACCCUUUUCUCUCUCUUUCUAUCUGUUUGGGAAACCUUUGAUAAAUGAGUUUGAAAAAGUAAAAUAACCAAGUUGUUAAUAUUUGAGUUGGAUUAUGUUUUGGAAUUUUAGCAUGUAAAGGGGAUUCUUGCAAAUGGAUUGUUAUGAAAUUCCACCUGCUUGAUAAUUUGUUUGUUGCAAUCAUCUUUCUAUUUUUUUGCUAUUAAUCAUUCAGUGUUCCUUACAACAUCGGUGAAAUACUGAUCAACUUGAUAUGUCAGUCUUAUGGUUAGAGGGGGAGGAGGAGGGGGGAUCAAAUAAUAUGCCAAACACACUUGUCAUUGCUGUGGAUGAGUUGGUAAACUGUGUUGGUCAAAGAUUCUCCUGCAUUCAGAUGAUUGAUUGCUUGUUAAAAUUCUUUUUCAGGUGAAGAAGCUCCAUCAAGAGGGCAAGUUAAAUCUACUAGUGGAUAAGGAUCUUAAGGGAAAUUUUGACAGGAUUGAAUUGGAAGAAAUGGUUCAAGUUGCUCUUUUAUGUACUCAAUUUAAUCCUUCCCACCGCCCAAAGAUGUCUGAAGUACUAAAGAUGUUAGAAGGCGAUGGUUUAGCUGAGAAAUGGGAAGCAUCACAGAAGAUUGAGACCCCAAGGAUGAGAUCAUGUGAAAACCAUGGUAAAAAAUAUUCAGAUUUUAUAGAAGAAUCUUCACUUGUGAUAGAAGCAAUGGAGCUUUCUGGGCCACGGUGAUGAAUCCUUUCGCACUCGCUCUUACACCUCCUUAUGUUUAUGAAAAGCAAAGCUCUGAAACUAGGAAAAUAUGUCACUGUUGUUGAUAUGAUAUCUAUUGAAUGCAUGUAUUCAUCUGUGUAAAAAAAAAUGAAAAGUCAUGUAUAAGCAUCUCGUUGUUGGAAAAAUCAGUUGAGUUGAUUGCUCUCUCACAAUUUUGACAAUUGUCUUAGAAUAUCAUAGAGUUUUCUAUGUACUUAUUACAUCUCUUCUGUCAUUUCUUCUUGGCCAAAAAAUGUCUUCCAUUGAUGGGUUGCUAAGCAGAAUGUGAUCACACAGAGGACUCAGUUCAGGCAAGGGGCUUCAUUCUUUGUGCUGCUGCUUCAUGGCUGAACCAAGUCCAGCCCUCCUGGAAAUCCUGAUGUUGGAGGUUGAAUAUGCUCUAAUCCCAUUAGUUAUUGGGCCCUUUUUAAAUUGCCAAAAUUCAGUUAGUGUGCUUGAUUUUUACCUGUGGGUAAUGCUAAUGCUACAACAAAUUUAUUCUUUUUUUU
rnacentral:misc_RNA from 1 species